rnacentral:lncRNA from 13 species
AAAAGCUCUUCAUUUACAGGUGGAAUACAUAGUUAUUAAUUCAAAAAGAGAGAAACUCAAUCUGUGAAUUGCAUAAAAGAACUUGAGAAGCUGGAAUAUCAGGUCAUCAUUAAAAAACUAUGUUUGUAGUUGCAAAUGGAGGUUUAAAUUGAGAAGAUUUAUAAAAUUACGAUUCUUGGAUGGAAUUCUGCAAACCUGCCUCUUUGUGGUAGCAAGUCAUCUCUUGUGCUCUGCCUGCUGAUUGAGUUUGGCCAGUAAUGACACCAGCCUUUACACACAGUGGCCCACGACUUGCUGCUGCACCGCACAGACAAGUGAGUUCUUGGUGCCUGUGAUGACCUCUUCCCAGUACUCUGCACCUCCUCUCUUUCUCCAGUGCUAAGAAUUUCUCCCUCUUUUGAUCCAGC